CUUUUGCGCCCCCGCCCCUAGGUUGGCGGACUAGAGAAGGAGCGAAGAUGGCGGAGUGAGGCGUGCCCCGGGCAGCUGGCCUGCGGGCCCGGGGCAGGCCUCCGGCGAGAAGCGGAGUACUUGUGCUGAACCGUGUGAGGAACCUUAUCACACAAAAUGAACAUUUUCCUGACCUUAGGUGCUUUUAUAUUCAGCUCAACAUUCUGAACUCAGGACUUGGCAAGAGUUCCUGUGUGGACUGCUCAGUGAGAUGUCCUGGUUCUUCCAUCCCGUUACUUUCCCCAGUGAGAUGCGGUAUCUUUCGACAGAUUACCUCCAUGGUUUAGGAUGCAAAGACUGCUUUUCUUUUAUUUCAUGUCAGACUCAACACAGAAAAGCCCUGAGGAUGCAGCUGCCCUGUUGACUUCAAGAAGAAAAUAAACAACUGACUUGGGUCCUCUGCAGUUUUUUAAUUAUAAAGACACUGUUUGCAAGUAGAAGGAAGAUGUUGAAUGUGAAAAAAGUGCUUAGGUUAUGUGGCGUGAAUUGUUUUCUUUUUCAAAGAUCCAAACAAGAAGACUGAACAAAUACCAAAUGUGGGUGACUUCAGGUUUUUUUUUAAAAUGUCUUCCAUUUUUAACACUAUUAUAAGCACAGUUGAAACAGCAGAGGUAAAUUCCAAAUAUUUAAUAUAAUUUGAGGUAAAAGAAAUGUUAUCUAAGUUCUGGCUCACUCUUUGACAGAUUUCCUGGACAAAAACAAGAUAGGAUAAAAGCAGAAACCAGGUUUAGUUUCAUAUGGGAGUGAAACCAUUACAGUUUUAUGUGUAUAAAUCCACAGUUUUUAAACAAGAUUUUUCUCUUGAAGAAGAAACCUGUUGUUUAUAAGAAGGCUUUGGACAGUUUGAUAGUCUUAAAUGUUUGGGUUUUGUCUGUUUUGCUUUGCUUUUUUUUAAUCCUGCUCAGGAAGGACCAGCUGGGCCUGUGGCUAGUUCAGAGUGGGAAGAAAACAUAGGAUGAGGUGAUGCUCACCCUGUACUGCCAGUUCGUGGGAGGCCAAGGCAGGAAGAUCAGAUGUUCAGGGCCAGCUUGGACGUCAUGAUGAGACUCAAAACCAGCAGGAAAAAAAAAUGGAGUCCAGUAAUACCCUCUUUUAUAUUCCUUUUGUGGAAUCACAUGGAACAUGUGAGACUGGCUUUCCAUGUGGCUGGAAGGGAGCCGGCAUAUGUGGUCUGUCAGGGUGAUGUGGUGGGACUUACAGGAAUGAAGGGAAAACUAAGGCUUGGCAUAUAAAUCCUUUAUUGUAAGAAAAAGAAGCAAAGCUGUCCAAUGUAGCAUUGUCUGACUUUUUAACAUUUUUACAUCAUGUAGUUGCAUUUUUUUUUUAUAAAAGUAUAAAUAACUUCCUUCAACCCAAGAUGGGUACUUGGACAGAUGUUUUUCUAGGUGAUAAUGUAUUCUGAAAUUCUGUGACUCAGGUAAAUUUUCACAGUUUGAGUUGAGCUGUCUUAUCAGAGAAUGGGCCUCAGGAGCAAUGUUCCCAGUCCUGUGGUUGGUUCACUAUAGUCUCAAAAGACAUUUGGGAUCUGAAUCAAGCUUCAAAUAAGAAAAGCAGAUCUGAUAAGAAGUGUGGAUCUAGCUGCUAGUCACUAUAGAUUUAAAGGAAAUUCGGGGGGGGGAGGGGAAUAACUCAAGAAAACUAGUUCUAAAAAGAGGUGAUACAUGCUCCUUUCUUGCUUUAAUAGUUAUGCUAUGUGGAACUAUUGUGGAAAUAAUCUCUUUGCUUCCCAAUCAGUGAAAGUCUAUUACAUGGGAUGCCAAGCUUUUAUAUGAGAGGAUGCCGUUGUUUGCAACGGCUGCCAGUAGAGGAGUUUUAAGCUUGUUAGAUGAGUUAGAAACAGAUGCUGUUGGAGCUGAUUUCUGGAACGGUUUCUCAGUGCUGCAGGUGCUGUGAAUUUGAGUCAUAGAAAUGAUCAAAAUUAGGAAAUAUUGGACAUUCAUGGUUAGUCAGAUUGGGCAACAAAUUUGAAUUUAUGCUAAAAGCUUUUUCGUAAAUAUUUAUUAUAAAUAACCUAUUAAUAAGAGCAAAUAAUGAUAAAACACUGGAGAAAUAACAAGUUAAAGGUAACCUAAAUUGCUGGGCUUCGUUGCUCACACUUGUAACUACAGCAUUUUGGAGACUGAGGCAGGAGGAUUGGCCAUAAAAGAUCAAAGCCACUCUGAAUGACAAACCCUGUCUCAAAAUGAAACAAAAAUAUAACCCACAUUUUUCAAGUGCCCUAGCCACUAAUAUUUUUAUUUAGAAGACAAACCAGCUGGUGAUUGAGAACAUUUCCUAGAUGCCAAGCUGUCCUGCACCUUGCCCUCGGGCAGGGGCUGUCACUACCAGGGGAGUGUCACCCCUUUGUUCCAGAUGCUUGUUCCAUGUGGGUGCACUUUAUCGGAGACACUCCUGCAUCCUGCAUGGUUAACACCAAACGGUGUUCACAGCAUGGGUGGUUCCCUGCUCUAGUUGCCUGGUGUGUGGCACAUUUCCAUUUAUAGUCUUACUUGGGUUUUCUUCUUAAUAGCAGCAAAAACUAUCAUUGUAGAGUUGUGCCUCCAUUUAUAGCUGUGCCUCCUCCCUUCUCCAUGUAAGCUGGCAGUUUUUCUUUUGAAGUUACUAAACAAAAACGGGAUAUGUGCAAUAUAAAUAUAUAUAUAAUGUAUAUUUUAAUACUUGUGGACAAGUGUUACAAGUUGUUUAAGAACAACAAAAUCACCAAUGUCUUCCAUUUUGAGAUGUGUAUAGUUUUGUAAGCAGUAGUGCUUGACAGCGUAUUGUAGUGCCAUGUUAGGGGUUAGUGCAUGAAUUUAGUAUAAUUUUAAACUUCAAGAUGAAAUAUUGAUAAUAACCAGUAGUGUAAAAAGUGUGGAAAAUCCUAGACCUUUACUUUUUUUGUGUAUGAAUCUAUGAUAGUCUCCCUGGGGAUAGGAGACAAAGGCCAAAACAACUAAUGUCUGGACAGAAAUGUGGGCUCACACUGAGAAACAUUGUGCUUGGGGGAAUGCUCAGCCUCUCACAAGGUAGCUGGAAAUAGUUGCCUUUGUCCUUAAAGCAAGGCCUGGGUUCAUGCUUGUCUUGCUUUCUUAAUUUGAAGCUAGCUUGUUCUUGUAUUGAUUUUCCAUUGUAUGUCUUGGGUUCAUUUUUCCUGUUUUAUGUUCAGAAAAUAAUUUUCUGUUUUGCAUGUCUGGGAUGCUAUGCUGAUAGCUUUGGAAUGUUUACUCCAUGGCUAUUUCCUCUCCUGUUUGCAGCAUGUGUGCUGAUUGCAGAACUUUGUCAGCAGUUUGGAGUAUCCUGUACUUUGGGCUUUGCUCAGUUCCACAUCUGUCUUGGGUGUUUAGUCAGUCUUUCUUAUGAGAACUGAUAGUUCAAUGGGGCCCAUGUAGAUUGACAAGAAGUAUGUUGGCCUCUCCUUUGGUAAUUGUUGACAGCUUUCACUUUUUUCUACUUUCCUUAUGGAAAUAAAGUAGUUGCUUUGUUCUGAAAAAUAAAGUUUUCUGUAAAAUGGAAUUCCUACCUCUAAAAGCUGCCUAGGAAACUUGGUAGUAACCAUUUUCUGGAGAGUUGUGGGUUUUUUGAUUUUUUGUUUGUUUGUUUGUUUGUUCCUUUUUUAUAAUUGUUAGAAAUAGAGUCCUGCUGGGUGUGGUGGUGGAUACCUGUAAACUUCCAGCAUUUGGGAAGCUGAGGCAGGAAGAUCAGGAGUUCACGGUCAUCCUCUGCUGCAUAGUAGUUGGAGGUCAGCCUGGGAUAUAUGAGACCUGUUUCAGGAAACCAAAAGAAAAAGAAAGAAAGAAAAGCAUAUGUAGCAUUUAUUAACAUGUAUUACAUUAGUAUGAAAGGAAAUGUAAAACUUCCCCAUAGGAACUAGAUAUGAGUCUGGUAUUAGAUAUCCAGGGACCCAGGAACAGACUCUCGUAGAAUAUUAAGUAUUUAUACUCUUCAUUCAAGUAGGUGGUUAGCGCCUGGGAGAAUCUGCUUCUGAAAAGCAUUUAGGAAACAAAGGGGAAAACCUUGAAAAAGUAAUGCAUACAAAGUAGCACAGUAUAUAGGAAAGGACGUUUCCUGUUGCAAAUAACAAAAGCCAUAAAUGAACUAAUAAUGUUAAAGAGGUGGAAUUCUGUAGCAAUAAUAGUUCUGUAUGUGUGGUUAAUUGUGCUCACAAAGCUGUGUGGUUGAGUUUGUGGGGCCCUGCAGUUUUAUAGAGUUCCACAAAAGAAAAAAAAAACACAUCCUAGUUAAAAGGCAUUUAAACUAUGAAUGUAUAUGAAUGUAUCUGCGUGAAAAAAUUACCAACUUUGAUAUAUGUGUUAAAGAUCCUAUUUUGUUUCCCUGGAGUUUACAGCUGUUGAAAAUUUUCUAUUGCUUAAUCUGGAAUCCCAGUGAAGCCAACAUGUAAGGGUCUUGCUUAAAUUGUUUGUAUUAAUAGUCAUUUACUAUAUAGAAUGACCUAUGCUUUAUUCAAAUAAUAUAACCUUUGUUCAUUGGGUUCCUGGCUACCGUUUCAAAAGGAAAAGGUUUGUGUGUGUGAUUGGUGUGUCUCGGGGGAAGGGGAGCCUCAGGAGCUUACUGAGUUUUCCCUGUACUUAGCCUCAAGGAAGUUAGGAUUAAAAGUGAACAGAAUGAGUGGCAGUGCCCAGGCAGGGUGUUUCUGAACAUCUGAUCAGUGUAUGUAAUAAGCUCAUGGCCAGUGUGCUAUCCUGUUAACAAGGAGAACCCAGCAGACUCGUUCCUUAUCUGAGAUGUAAAAUGGAACCAGGGCCACCCCUCACUUCCUUUACCUCAUGUUCACUGUGGCCACUUAGCACCUUGAACAUCCCUGAAAAGAUGUGGGUCUGUGCUCUUUUGUUUUCCCAGGGGAAGAAAAGUAAAAAAGUAGUUUUGUAGAUAUAAGACUCUUAUUUUAUUACAAGCCUAAGGGUAGGGAAAAGACAAUAUUGAGUGUAGUUUCUCUUUAGGUGUCCUAUGCUGUCCAUGUUAGCUUUUGGGACAACCAAGCAAUAUUCACAACAACUGCAUGAUCAUGAAGAUGUGGCUAAUUCAGUUAGAUCAGAGAUUACCCUUAACAGCCAAGUUUAUGGUUCUAAAUGCAAAAAUACGCUACAAGACUUUGUGGUCUCAAAAUAUGUGGUUAAUUAGUAUUCAGUCUUACUGUAGUCUCUUGUUUACUCUUUAUGUACCUGUGAUAUGCAAAAUAUGAAAAAGACACCCCUCCCCCCAGCCUUCAGGGUUUACAUUCUCAUGGUGCUGUAGGUGCAAGCAUACUGUCUCUACUUUAUUCAGAACAUUGCUUGGCUACUAAUUAUACCAUUUUGGAAGAACCAUUUGGCCAAGAGUUUUAAGAUGCAGAGGGCUAUGUUGAAUUUCAGGGCAUUACUGCUUUUGUUUACACUGUUUUAGCUCUGCUCCUCAACUUUUCCCAGGGAGCUGUUCAUUAAUACGAAUCAGAAAAGAAACCAUUCUGCCCAAGUACCCUCACCACCCUCCAGCUCUCAGUAAGUGGCCAAGAAAACUUGUUCCAUAAAGACGAUCACCUCAGUUCCUUUUUCCCAGGGUUUUACACUUAUUCUUUACCUUCCAAGGGCCAGGAUUUCUAGAUAAACCUUUUAGAACCAAACAGAAGUCUUAAGUUUAGCUUUUUUGUGUGUGACUUGUUUUGAAGCAGCGUUAUAGUAGAUUACCUGACUGCAUCUCUGAGGAAUUUGACUGACAUAUUCAGUUGAAGUUUUGCAUGUAUCAUUGCUUUUUCCCAAGAUUUGGAAUCAAAGGGUUUGCAUGUUUAUUAAAACCAGGCCUGAUUGGAAGUGUAAGCAAUAGUUGCAGGCCCAUAACUGAUUCUAGAAUGCUAACAUUCUAAUGCAUGGUUGAAAUUUUUUGUUGUUAGGUAAUUAUUAGUCAUUUUAUAUAUGCAUUUAUCAAUAAUGAAGCAAUAGAUACUUAAACCAAUAGCUUGGUUUUAUUGUUUGAAUUACUUCUAUUUUCUAAUUAAAGAUUGUCUUACUUCCAUUGAAAAUUGGAAGUAUAAGAUAAACAAGGGGCAACCACAAGACAUUCAAACUGUUAGGAAAACAGCAAGCAGUGCUAGCUCUGUUUCCUAGCUCUAUUUAUUCCCAAGCAUGUUUGCAAAUAAAAGAUAAACUAAGCAUGUUGAAUAAGCUGCUGUAAUCAGGACGGUGCAGGGUUUCAGAAGAGUGGGGAAGUAGGCCAAGUAGAGUCAUCUUUCUUCAGAAAUAACAGUGUUCACUGCAAAAUUACUAGCUGUGGGACUUGUCUGAUUAGGUUUAUAUAGACUACGUUUGGGGUUUCUUAAAACUAUAGAUUGAGCCAGAUUCGUGGUCUUGAACAGGCAGGAGCUAGCCUAAAUGCCAUGGCCAGACUCCAGCAUCAGUGAACACAGACUGCAGUUCAGUAAUGCGGCAUCUGUUCUGGAAGCUGCUGACUGACCAUCUGCAAGGACCCUGUAGCAAGGUUUCUGUCGAGCUACAGAAGUCUGGCUACUCAGACUGUGGCUGUGGCUGUAUUUGCAGCUAUAGAGCUGUCAGACUGUGGCUGUGGCUAUAUUUACAACUUAGAGCUGUCAGACUGUGCCUGUGGCUGUAUUUGCAGCUGUAGAACUGGAGUUUAGUUUAGAUGAGUUGGUCAAAAUGUGUAACUUGCCUGAAACUUAAUUCCUGAUGAACAGGAAAAGAAUUUCUUCCUCCAAAAAAGACAUUUAAUUGGAUGAAUGAGUAUUGGUUUGUUACAAUACUGAAAGGAACAAAAGUGUAAUCUACUGGCAGAACAUUUACCUGAGAAAAUGGGUGCAAUUCCCAGCACUACCAAAAACAAAAAAAAAAACAAAACAAAAAAAAAACUCACCUCAGAGUGGUAGCAUUAGAAUUUCUUGACUUUGAAAUGCAAGCUACAAAUGGUUUUGACAAAUGAUGAGAAGUAUUUAUGAUGUCUGAAAGACCUAAAUAGAUUUUAAAUAAAACUGUUUCACUGGGUUCAGUCCAAUUUACAUGUUAUAUGAUGGAAAAAUAGUUUCAAAUGUAACUUUAGCUGCGGUACUUUGCUAUGGAUGUUGACUGGCAUGGUAACUUCCAACCUUCAGAGCUGAAUUAAACUUGUCAGUGUGAUGUUUGCUUUCCACUAAAACAUUGGAAUUGAGGUAUAUGAUGUAUCCCAAAUAGAAGUUCUUUGUCACUUACUGACCCUCUGCCAGCCAAUAAAGAUGUCAGAGUUCUCCCUUCUAGCAAUCUCUUCCUAACAGUCCCUAUAGUCAGAGCCUCAGACAGCAAGACUCGAUGUGUUUGGUAGACUCAGGCUUAUAAGGUACCUUGAAAGGCAGAAUGCAAUUAGGAUUAUUGGUGAUGUUCCAAACAUCUUUGGGAAUGGUAUGCUGUAUCCUUAAUUUAAAUGUUCUUUUGUGCUUGAGACAUAGUUUUUGGAGAACACUUGGACUCUGGGGCCAGUCCUCAGCACUGACACCUAUCUCAAGGAUCAGACAAGUAUUUUGUCAGUGUAUUAUCAGUCUAUAAACAUUACUAGUCUGGGCAUUAACCUUAAACCUAAGCACCCCUUUAAUGAAAAAGAUUGAAUAGUAAUCUCCUUGAGAGUGGUGCAUUUUCUGCCCUUCAAGCAUAGGUGUCACUGUUCGCUUGCCCUUCCUUGUACCUUCUGCUGUGCCUGCCACCAGUGUAUGAGGUGACAGCUUCAUUGAAUGUUUGAAGCACUACAAAAGGCAGCUUCUUAAUCUAUGCAUCUUUGGGAGUUUUGAAGAAAUUUGACUUCUUGGAAAAGGAACUGUUUUGAGAGUCUGAAACUGCACCUGUAUGUAUAUAUUUUUAGCAAUAAAGCAUGAGCAAAGAAUGCACUGAAA